rnacentral:rRNA from 1 species
UACGUAGGGGGCUAGCGUUGUCCGGAAUCAUUGGGCGUAAAGAGCGUGUAGGCGGUCCGGUAAGUCCGCUGUGAAAGUCGGGGGCUCAACCCUCGAAAGCCGGUGGAUACUGUCGGGCUAGAGUACGGAAGAGGCAAGUGGAAUUCCUGGUGUAGCGGUGGAAUGCGCAGAUAUCAGGAGGAACACCUAUAGCGAAGGCAGCUUGCUGGGACGUUACUGACGCUAAGGCGCGAAAGCGUGGGGAGCGAACAGG